rnacentral:rRNA from 1 species
GACGAACGCUGGCGGCGCGCCUAACACAUGCAAGUCGAACGAGAGAGAGGGAGCUUGCUUCCCCAAUCGAGUGGCGAACGGGUGAGUAACGCGUGAGGAACCUGCCUCAAAGAGGGGGACAACAGUUGGAAACGACUGCUAAUACCGCAUAAGCCCACAGCUCGGCAUCGAGCAGAGGGAAAAGGAGCAAUCCGCUUUGAGAUGGCCUCGCGUCCGAUUAGCUAGUUGGUGAGGUAAUGGCCCACCAAGGCGACGAUCGGUAGCCGGACUGAGAGGUUGAACGGCCACAUUGGGACUGAGACACGGCCCAGACUCCUACGGGAGGCAGCAGUGGGGAAUAUUGCACAAUGGGGGAAACCCUGAUGCAGCGACGCCGCGUGGAGGAAGAAGGUCUUCGGAUUGUAAACUCCUGUUGUUGAGGAAGAUAAUGACGGUAC